CUCUUUUUAAUUAUCAGGAGCAGACACACAAAUGACACAUUUUCAGGAAAAUAAAAUCCAAUAACACAACAUUAGUCUUAAAUGUAAACUCCCUGCUGGAUUCUGUGAAUGUUGGUGUUUAAUUUAAUAAUUAUAAACAAUAGAUAACCAUACCGACAACAAAACGAUUGGUUGGUUGACGGUGGCCAUAGCAACGACAAACGUCAGGGAGGAUUGUGAGCUUAAAACACAUUUAAAUCCGAAAUUAAAAUAAAAUUAAAUCUCUCUUUCCCACUGUGUGUGUGUGUGUGUGUGUGUGUUUGUGUACGUGUGCGUGUGCGUGUGUGUUCAGGUGUGGAGCGGUUCUGCAGUUUUACUCAGUCAGAUCCCUGUUAUGCAGCUCUGGGACACAAACUCAAUCUGCAGAUGGUGAACGCCAGUAAAUAUAGCCUGACCAUAAUAAAGAGAAUAAACAACAUAGAUGAUGCAGUUUGUAGAGUAAGAAAUGACACAAAGAGAGCAAAUGUAUGUGAUCUUUACAUAAACAGACCUGAAGUGAGAAUCAUUAAAGGGACUGUGAUGAUAAACUCUGUGAAGAGAGAAGAUUCAGGAAAUUACAGAUUAGAACUCUUUAAUCCUGACGGCACAGAAACAUCUCAAUAUCUUCAGGUGAAUGUUGAAGCUCCUGUUGGCUCAGUGGAAGUGUCAGUCAUCUGCUCCUCCAAUCAGAUGAGGUCAGUGUCCUGCUCCUCUGAGGGGGAUCAGCUCCUCUACAGCUGGACUCUCAAUGGAGAAACACUGAUGGAUGAAAACAGGAACAUUUAUCUUGAAGAAGGAACUGAAGGAGAAAUCACCUGCACUGUGAAGAACCACGUCAGUAAAAGACAGAAGACUGUUAGCACCGAAGACUGUUCAGGUGAGAUAAUCAGAAAGUUUGUUUGCUUGUUUGCUUGUUUGUUUGUUUGUUUGUUUGUUUGUUUGUUUGUUUUAUUUGAUGCUGUGAUUUCUAGUUUAACCUCUAGUUUGACCUUUACAGUGACCAGCAGCAGUCUAACAACAUCAAACUGGGGUAUGAGUUUAACAGAGCAAUACAGGAAUCCUGAUGGACAGAUUUUGUUUCGUGUUUAAUUGUUGUCUUCUGUGUUCAGUGUCUCACAGCUCUAUGCUGGUCAUUUAUUUGAUGAUUCUGUUCGCUCUGUUAGGAGGAUUUCACAUCUACAUCCACACACAAGUCAGGUGAGAGACGAUUAUGAUCAGCGUUAUUGAUUCAACAUGCAAAUAAAGUGUGAAGAUGAUGAUGAUGAUGUGAUGCUUUUAGGAAAGAAAGAAGAUCAAAACCUGAUGAUGAGGAGAUUUAGUGAAGAACACAGAGCAGAUCUCAUCACAUCUAUAUUACAAUGACUUCAUGAUGUUCAAGAGUUUCACCUGGAUACAGAGUUUAUUUUCACAUAUAGUUUUUUCGUCUUUUACUUUAGUAUGUUGGUUUUGAUUGAUUUCUCAUUGUUUAUGAUACCUAAACUAUUCAAACUUUUUGAGAUGUCUGGUGUUUUACUUUUUUUUUUCUUCUUGCAUUUGCAUUUUGUGAUAUGUGUAAUAUUUUUAGUCAGGGGUGGCAUGGUGGCUCAGUGGUCAGCACUGUCGCUUCACAGCAAAACGAUCACUGGUUCAAGUCUCAGCUGGGCCAGUUGGCAUUUCUGUGUGGAGUUUGCAUGUUCUCCCUGUGUUGGCGUGGGUUUCCAGGUGCUUCGGUUUCCCCCAGAAUCCAAACACAUGCGCUAUAGGUGAAUUGAAUAAGCUAAAUUGGCCAUUGUGUGUGUGUGUGUGUGUGUGUGUGUGUGUGUGUGUGUGUGUGUGUGUGUGAAUGUGAAUGGGUGUGUAUGGGUGUUUCCCAGUCUUGGGAUGCAGCUGGACUUGCAUUCACUGCGUAAAACAUAUGCAGGAAUAGUUGGCGGUUCAUUCCACUGUGGCAACCCCUGAUAAAUAAGCGGCAUAAAAGAAUGAAUAAAUUAAUACUUUGAGCUAUUAUGCAUUUAUUUUUAUUUUGUUGUUCAUUUUAGAUUAUCGCUAAACAGAGCAUUAUUUAAUAAUUGUAAUAUUAAGUCUUCAAUUUAUGGUGAAAUUUAGUUAGAAGAUGUAAUUAUACAUAAUUAAAAUAAAAAGUAGUUUGUUCUUAAUUAAAAUGUGUAAUACAACUAAUUCUCAUUUUAAAGGGACAGUUCACCCACAAAUUGAAUUUUACUCACUAAUUAGUUCCAAACAUUUAUGAGUUUCUUUCUUCUGUUGGAGAUAUUUUGAUAAAUGUUAUAAACUUGUAACCAUUAGAGGAAGAACAAAGUAUGGAAGUCAAUGGUUGGGUUUACAACAUUCUUCAAAUAUCCCCUUUUGCAUUUUAUAGAAUAAAGAAACUCAAACAGGUUUGAAAUAAGAGUGAGUAAAUGAUGACAGAGUUUUCAUCUUUGAGUGAAUUAUCCAUUUAAUUCACAUUAACCACACAUUAGUCACACAAUAUUUGCUUUAUUUGUAAAUGUUAAGAUCUCACGAAGAGAAUUUUCCAUGAUUCUUUGUUUCAAUUUUGUAAAUUCAAUUUUUGAAUGUAUUUAAAGCUGCAGAGAGCAAAAUAUCAUCUAAAUAUAUAUUUUUUCUUUUAUAUGUGGAUUAUACUUUGGGUUUUGUCAUGGUCUUCAGCACAGAGUAACUCAUGUGUUUUUUUCUUAAAUACAGGGCUGCCAACUCAUACAAUACUUUACAUGAUGAGGUUUGUCACGCCAUAGUAAACCAAGUGUUGCAGAACAUGUUUUUGGUUUCUGAUCUUACACCACAUGCCUAUUUUUUCACACUGAGUCAUUUCAAAAAACAACAUUAAAGCAGUUUCUGAGGAUAAAGAGUGUUGUUUCCCUAGGUAAAUGUCAGGUUUUAAUGUGACGUGACAGCUCUUUUAUUGGUGUUUUUUCAAUGGUGGAAACACUGAUUUAGUGACAUGAGACACACACAACAUAUUUCAUAAAGUUCUACUGUGUUUCAGCAUAUUCAUGUUUUAACUUGAUAUUUUGCUUCUGAAUUAAACACUUUUUUUCAUUAAACCUCUUUAGCAGUGUUAUAUAUUUUGCUGACGUAUCUACUUAUGACAUAACAUUAUCUACAUUGUUACAUUAUCUACAUUAUGGCAUUGUUUGUUGUGACUACACGUUCUCUAUAGCGGUGAAAAUGACAUGCUGCACAUUUAAGCUGCCCGCUCUAUCAGUGUGUAGCGUGUGCAUUUUUAAUAACUGUCUCCACAAUAGUUUUCUGGGCUGCAUGGGAUUCUGAAGUCAUUC
ensembl:lincRNA